AAUAGCCCAGCAUCGAAUCCCCCGCUCUCAGCGGCGGUGAGAACUGUGGUGUUAGGAACAGCCAAUGCGGAUCGGUCGGGAGCCCAAGUCCUCCUGAUCGGGGCUUCACCCAGAGCCGGUGUUAGGCCUCUACGGCGCCUGGCCGGUCGCGUCGACCGCUCCAAGAGUCGAGUAGUUUGGGAUUGCUUGCUCAAAGUGGGUGGUAGACUCCAUCUAAAGCUAAAUAUCGGGGAGAGCCGAUAGCGAACAAGUACCGUGAGGGAAAGAUGAAAAGCACUUUGGAAAGAGAGUUAAAAGUACGUGAAACGUUUAGAGGCAAACGGAGAGGACCGCAAAGUCGGCGCGUCGGAUUCAACCUGUCGGCCGUGCGGUCGUCGCGUCGUGGACAUCUCCUCGCGGGAGUCUCGGUGCGGCGGUUGCGUGCGGCGGCGGGUGCACUUUCGGCGCGUCGAGCGCCACGACCGGUUUGUCGGCGGUCAGAAGCGUUCGGGGAAGGUGGCCAUCGCUUCGGCGUCGGUGUUAUAGACCCGGAUCGCGUCGGCCCGCCGGCGGACCGGGGAAGACCCUGCGCGGUCGACGCUCCCGCUUCGUCUCNNNUCGAUCGACCGACUGGGGGAAACUGUCGUCAGUGUCCUUCGACUGCGGUCGUUCAGCGGGCGGACGUGUGGGC
rnacentral:rRNA from 1 species